UUUAAAGCCUCGGCUUUAUAUAAACUUUUUUUUAUUUGGGGUAUUACGUGUGCCGCAUAAAUUAUGCCGAAAAACAUUUUGUUUUUCCGAACUUUUUGUUGUACUCCGCCAAUCGAUUCAGCCCUUGGGAUUCUCCUUUCUCCACUUUUGCCCCGCCAUCGAAUUUCUAGGUUUUGCUUUUUUUUGUUUGACAAUUGAGGGCUUGUCUUUUUUUUUUCACCAUAUUUCUUACUUGCAUUCAAAUCAACACAUUUACAGAGAUUUAUUAACUUCAUUUUCAAAUUAUACAUCAGCCUCGACUUUAACCCAUGAAAGUUGAAAGAAGACAAUGAUGGCUGGUGAGCUUUAUAUAUGAAUUUUGGAAGGCUGUAAUUACAGUGAAGAAAACUAGAUUUUUUCAAGCUUCCUGUUCAUAUAAAUUAUAAGGAAGCACCGGAGAGUACGGCUUCAUCCCUGGCCUUUAAAAAGAACAGGGCGGCUUCAUCUUCGGCUUUUGGGUCCCGAUCCAGGUAAAACUUUGUUUGUUUUGCUUUGAUAAUCGGUUUGUAGGGAUGUUCAUUGCUGUUCUUGUUUUUUGAACUUGUUUUUUGAACUGACUUUUCAUGUUUUUAAGCUAUGGAUGUUGAUGUUUGGUGGUUUGAAGCUUCAGAUUAGGGUUUAUGGAGUUUCUCUUGUUAGAUAGGGAAUUUUGAGUCGGGUUGGCUAAGGUUUUGUUGUUUUCUGAUUUCAUGUUGCUUUGAAGCUGGUUUUUCUAUUUCUGUGUUUUUGAGCUUCUGAUCAUGGUUUAUGGAAUUUAUAGGGUUAGUAGAUAGGGAGGUUUUUCUUAUAUCUGGAUUAAUGUUUGUUGUCUUUUAUGCUUUUGUGCUUCUGAUAGUUAUUUCUGCUUUUUCUACAGCUAGAAAGGAAUUUUUAGUAGGUUUGAUUCAAAUUUUGGUCUUUUGUUUUUUAGUUGGAAUUUUUAUUUAUCUUGGAAUCUGAAAUUGUUUUGCGUCAAGCUUCUGAUUGUGGCAUACGUGUUUCAUAGGAUUUAAAGCCAUGAUUUUGAACUGCUUUGUUUUCAAUUUUAUUUUUUUUGGAAUUUUGAUUAAUUUUUAUGGAUUUUCAGAGUUAGAAAAGGGAUUGUGUCUGCGUUUGUUCUCAAAUGUCGUCUCAGUCUCUUUUGAAGCCUUGUGUGUUGCCAUUUUCCAGCGUAUGUCUAUGAUUAAUGGGAUUUCUGGGGUUAGUAACAGGAGAAAUAAAAUUGAUUUGUUCUAAUCAUUGCUUUCUCUUCUGGUUUUUAUGUUUUUUCAUGAGACAUGGCUGAUGAAUUCAGUCUUUUUGCCUUUUUGCUUAUUAUUUUGGGAUAUCAAGUCUUAUACUAAGCUGAUUGUACAUAAAUGCUUAUUAUUAUUUUUAUUGCAAUCUUGAUUUGUUCUGAGUAAAGGCCACAUAUGAACUUAAUUCCUUUCGGAGCUACUGGUUGAAAUCUGUUUCCUCUUUAUGUUGUCAUCAGAAUCUAAGUUGAUUUGCUUACAGAAUAUUUAUUUUCUGUACGCGUUUGGGGUUUCUUCUGUUAUAUUACCCAAAGCUUAGAAGCCGGAUUAACAGAGUUCUUCAUUUU
rnacentral:lncRNA from 1 species